rnacentral:rRNA from 1 species
AUACGGAGGGUGCAAGCGUUACUCGGAAUCACUGGGCGUAAAGCGCAUGCAGGCGGUCAGAUAAGUUAGAAGUGAAAUCCUAUAGCUCAACUAUAGAGCUGCUUCUAAAACUGUUUGACUAGAGUCUGGGAGGGGAAGAUGGAAUUAGUAGUGUAGGGGAAAAAUCCGUAGAGAUUACUAGGAAUACCAAAAGCGAAGGCGAUCUUCUGGAACAGUACUGACGCUGAGAUGCGAAAGCGUGGGGAGCAAACAGGAUUAGAUACCCUAGUAGUCC